GCUACGGGUGGCAGCAGUGAGGAAUAUUGGUCAAUGGCCGAGAGGCUGAACCAGCCAAGUCGCGUGAGGGAAGACGGCCCUACGGGUUGUAAACAUCUUUUGUCGGGGAGCAAAGCGAGUCACGUGUGACGCAUUGAGAGUACCCGAAGAAAAAGCAUAGGCUAACUCCGGGCCCGCAGCAGCGGUAAUAAGGAGGCUGCGAGGGUUAUCCGGAUUUAAUGGGUUAAAAGGGUGCGCAGGCGGAGGUGCAAGUCAGCGGUCAAGUUGAGGGGCUCAAACCCGUACUGCCGGUCAAACUGCAUCCCUUGAGUGCGCGAGAAGUAUGCGGAAUGCGUGGUGUAGCGGUGACAUGCAUAGAUAUCACGCAGAACUCCGAUUGCGAAGGCAGCAUACCGGCGCGCAACUGACGCUCAUGCACGAAAGCGUGGGUAUCGAACAGGAUUAGAUACCCUAGUAGUC
rnacentral:rRNA from 1 species